CAAAGGAUUGCCCACCAGCUUGUUAAGCCCAUAACAUUCAAGGUGGCAUUUGUGUCUGCAAACGUUGUGCCUGAAGAAAAAAGAAUCCGAACAAAAAAACUCUAAAUUUAAGCCUUUCGACAAUGCCAUAUAUUUUAAGAUAAACUUUGUAUCCAAAAAAUUGGCAAAUAAAUUAUUAGUGAACAAAAAGGUUGUCAAAGAGAACUUAUUUACUUAUGUUAUACUUCGUUCAAGUAUCGUAACUUCAUAUAUUUUCAAUUGAACAUGCAUGGUUCUAAUUUUCGAUCCAUCGAAUUUAUAUACUGUCAAUGCAAUCCUUUAAUUACUGGAUUUAACGACUACUGUUAUAAUAUCAUGCCAGCUAGUCAUUUCCACAUAAUUCGCACAAAAAGAGGCUUGAUUUAAUUAAUGGAUUUAACGACUACUGCUUGGGUUAAGAUAGAGAUAUCAAAAGUCAAAAAAUGAUCUAAUUGGAGAAUAGGAACUAAACCUACAACUUACCGAUACUAUGAGAUUGAUAACAUAAUUUAAUCUACCCUACAGUUUAUUUGGGCACUAGGAUUUCAAAUUUUAAAAAUUAGAUACAAUAAUCGUGGGGGGAGAUGUAGAGGGACAAGGGACGGGUAAAUUUUUAUUUUUUAUCAUAACAUAUUUAUUUACUUUAAUAUUAAUAUAAAAUUAUUUUUAAUUAAAUUUUAAUGGGGUUUUGACUUUAGCAAUCCCAUUAGUUAAAACUUUAUUUCAAUGGCACUAACUACGGGUACCAACUCCAGUAACAGAAUCAAAGUUUAGGUAUUCGGAUUGGUCAAAAAAUAGUUUCAGUACCUAUGUCAAACAAAGCAAAUAGUUCAAGGGCCUCCUAUUCAAUUAAGCCUUUAAUAAAAUCUCAAAUUAAAGAGAAGGAUGUUGGUAAAUGUGCUCGUAUUGUAGUAAACAUUUACCUAUUUUCUAUGCAUUUGAACGAUGAAUAAAUAAAUAAAGUUAAUGUCACAUUUCACUUUUACAUCUUGUGUUUCUGUCUUCCAUGUUUUACUUAUGUGUCGAAAUUGUAACAAGCAAAUGUUAGCUCAUUGAGUGUCUAAGUUGAAACUGAUGAUGUGGCACUACAAGAAUGUUUACAUUUCCAGAAAGACAAUUUACUUCUAUUGAUAAUCUAAACGAGUCAGUAAUCCCGUAAAAGAAUCAAAGUGAGCAUUUGAUUCAAAUACUCAGAAGCAUUAUUAUGUCGUCUACAAUUCUAGUUAGGGAGAUGAUUAGUGUUGGCUGCCCGAGCAGUUGAAUCCACGGGUAGAGACAUAAAUUUAUUGCUUGGAAGAAUGAGACAUUAGACUGAACCUAAGAUGGAUCAAUUCACUUGUGACGUUCAUGGUGUGACUUACCUAAAUCCUGAGUUAGUCACUGACCAUGCGUAUGUAACUCAUGUGCUUUGAUAUUAGUGUACGCUUAUGCUCUUAACAUGACCGAGUCGAUAGCCAAUAUAUUGGGUACAUGACUUGCGUUUGGCAUUGCUUUACUAGCAACAAUGAAAUCCAUACCUCGACUAAGAGUUAACGAUAUCUUUUAUUGAUAUUGUUUGGAUUGAUAAAAUUGGAUUUGGCCACGGGGUUUCUUGUUUUCGAACGGGUAAUUUGUCACAGUCAUUAGUUGACAUUGAUCAUUUUAACAACUAAGAAGACACAAUGAUGACGAUAAGAUAAAAUAUGAUUUUAUCGAGUGAAUAAAUCUAACUCAAAGGACUCAAUGAUAUCAUAUGAGAUCAUUAGACAAUGUAGUUGGAUGAAUUACUUUCAUAAAGAGUAAACAAUAAGUAGUUUUCAAUCGUGGUACUACAUGUGGACUGACUUCAAGAUUAAGUAAAUUGUGAAUUAUAUGAACGAAGCUUCUGGACGUAAUUGCAUUUACUCGAGCCUAAUUGUAUAUGUCCAAUUCGUCCCUCUGGUAGCUCAACAAAAGCUCAAACGGACUGCAUUUAAAUCAAAAGAAAAUUCUAUGACUUUUGAAAUAAUUUAAUUGAGUCGAUUUAUUCAGGAUAACUAUUGUGCCACCUUUAUUAGAAACACAUUGAGUUGGACUUACUCUCUCACUAUCGAAGAUAACAUACACAAUACAAACAUCCAACCAUUUAGUGAUUUCUUUUUUCACUACCUCCUCCAUAGUUGGGUUUAACUGACAUUACGCAUCAACAAUUGGCUUUUUACCUUAUUCCAGCAAAAGUUAUAAAAAUAUAAAUUAUAAAAACAAAAAACGAUCUAAUUAGAGAAUAUGAACUAAAUCCACAACUAACACAUAGUACGAGACUAAUAGCAUAAUUUAAUCUAACAAAUUUGACUUCUAUUGUUUAUGCAAGUACUAGAAUUUCAAAUUAAAAAGGUAGAAUAAUUAAAUUUGAUCAGAUAAAACUAAAAGGACUAAAUCCACAACUAAUGUAUGGUAAAAAGAUUAAUAAAAAAAGUCAAUCGUAUGAAUUAGGGUUUGUUUUUUAAGUUUACGAGCACAAUUACUAAGGUGUGGAUAAAAAUAAUAGCCAAUUAUUUGCAAUUUUUUAUUACCUUCAAGUUCUUGUAUAAAAAUAUUAUUUUCAAUUAAUUAUCAAAAAAAGGAAAAUGUUAAUAUAUGGUAAGUAAAUCUAAAUUAAUUGUGCUAUUAUUAUCUUGCCAUCGGUGACGUAUAAAGCAUAGUGCAAAAUCUCCUAUAUGAUUUUUCUCUUCCUACAAAAUUCGCAAGUAUAUCUUCACCUACCAAGUCAUAACUUUACUGCAAUAUUAGGUUAAAGAAAUUCCAAGAAAUUCAACUAUAAAUGGCCAAAUGCAUGUCAUUUUUUCUAUCAUCAGCUUGUUAUCAUAUAACUAACUCUUUGUUUCAUCUCUCAAUAGCUUUCAUUUUAAACUAUGGCUUCUUUCGGCGUGGUUUCUCUUUUUGCGGUUUUGCUUGUGGCUUCUUGUUAGUAUCUAAAAUAUUUAUCCAGUUCGAUAUUUAAUUAUUACAUACAUAUAUAUACAAGUAACUUUUUUAGUAUAAAAGCGAUUGCAGUAUUAAAAUAAGGGAGGGGUUGCAAUCGUUGCGAUUCAAAUCCUAUGUGUCUUAAACUAAUUAUAUAUAAUAGCUAAUAUAAAAUAACUAACAAAAUUUUUAAAUGAUGAAAAAUUUGUUGUUUAAUUUGCAGGUGUAUCAAACUCAGAAGCAUGCACUCGUGACAUAGACUGUUUGGGCCAGUGUAAACAUGGUGGUUUUUGUGACUUGACAACUAAAAAAUGUAGUUGCUUGCCGGUGUCGGGGCAUCUACCAUCUAACAUUGCAGCAACAGUGGACGCUAUGCAGCGAUGACGAAAACUGCAAAGGAUUGCCCACCAGCUUGUUAAGCCCAUAACAUUCAAGGUGGCAUUUGUGUCUGCAAACGUUGUGCCUGAAGAAAAAAGAAUCCGAACAAAAAAACUCUAAAUUUAAGCCUUUCGACAAUGCCAUAUAUUUUAAGAUAAACUUUGUAUCCAAAAAAUUGGCAAAUAAAUUAUUAGUGAACAAAAAGGUUGUCAAAGAGAACUUAUUUACUUAUGUUAUACUUCGUUCAAGUAUCGUAACUUCAUAUAUUUUCAAUUGAACAUGCAUGGUUCUAAUUUUCGAUCCAUCGAAUUUAUAUACUGUCAAUGCAAUCCUUUAAUUACUGGAUUUAACGACUACUGUUAUAAUAUCAUGCCAGCUAGUCAUUUCCACAUAAUUCGCACAAAAAGAGGCUUGAUUUAAUUAAUGGAUUUAACGACUACUGCUUGGGUUAAGAUAGAGAUAUCAAAAGUCAAAAAAUGAUCUAAUUGGAGAAUAGGAACUAAACCUACAACUUACCGAUACUAUGAGAUUGAUAACAUAAUUUAAUCUACCCUACAGUUUAUUUGGGCACUAGGAUUUCAAAUUUUAAAAAUUAGAUACAAUAAUCGUGGGGGGAGAUGUAGAGGGACAAGGGACGGGUAAAUUUUUAUUUUUUAUCAUAACAUAUUUAUUUACUUUAAUAUUAAUAUAAAAUUAUUUUUAAUUAAAUUUUAAUGGGGUUUUGACUUUAGCAAUCCCAUUAGUUAAAACUUUAUUUUAAUGGCACUAACUACGGGUACCAACUCCAGUAACAGAAUCAAAGUUUAGGUAUUCGGAUUGGUCAAAAAAUAGUUUUAGUACCAAUGUCAAACAAAGCAAAUAGUUCAAGGGCCUCCUAUUCAAUUAAGCCUUUAAUAAAAUAUCAAAUUAAAGAGAAGGAUGUUGGUAAAUGUGCUCGUAUUAUUGUAAACAUUUACAUAUUUUCUAUGCAUUUGAACGAUGAAUAAAUAAAUAAAGUUAAUUUCACAUUUCACUUUUGUAUCUUGUGUUUCUGUCUUCCAUGUUUUACUUACGUAUCGAAAUUGUAACAAGCAAAUGUUAGCUCAUUGAUUGUCUAAGUUGAAACCGAUGAUAAGUGUGGCACUAUAAGAAUGUUUACAUUUCCAGAAAGAUAAUUUACUUCUAUUGAUAAUCUAAACGAGUCAGUAAUCCCGUAAAAGAAUCAAAGUGAGCAUUUGAUUCAAAUAUUCAGAAGCAUUAUUAGGUCGUCUAUAAUUCUAGUUAGGGAUAUGAUUAGUGUUGGUUGUCCGAGCAGUUGAAUCCACCGGUAGAGACAUAAAUGUAUUGCUUUGAAGAAUGAGACAUUAGACUGAACCUAAGAUGGAUCAAUUCACUUGUGACGUUCAUGGUUUGACUUACCUAAAUCCUGAGUUAGUCACUGACCAUGCGUAUGUAACUCAUGUGCUUUGAUAUUAGUGUAGUCUUAUGCUAUUAACAUGACCGAGUCGAUAGCCAAUAUGUUGGGUACAUGACUUGAGUUUGGCAUUGCUUUACUAACAACAAUGAAAUCCAUAGCUCGACUAAGAGUUAACGAUAUCCUCUUCUUGAUAUUGUUUGGAUUGAUUAAAUGGAUUUGGCCACGGGGUUGCUUAUUCUCGAACGAGUAAUUUGUCAGAGUCACUAGUUGGCAUUGAUCAUAUUAACAGUUAAGAAGACACAACGAUGACGAUAAGAUAAAAUAUGAUUUUAUUGAGUGAAUAAAUCUAACUUAAAGGACUCAAUGAUAUCAUAUGAGAUCAUUAGACAAUGUAGUUGGAUGAAUUGCUUUCAUAAAGAGUAAACAAUAAGUAGUUUUCAAUCGCGGUACUACAUGUGGACUGACUUCAAGAUUAAGUAAAUUGUGAAUUAUCUGAACGAAGCUUCUGGACAUAAUUGCAUUUACUCGAGCCUAAUUGUAUAUGUCCAAUUCGUCCCUCUGCUAGCUCAACAAAAGCUCAAUCGGACUGCAUUUGAAUCAAAAGAAAAUUCUAUGACUUUGGAAAUAAUUUAAUUGAGUCGAUUUAUUCAGGAUAACUAUUAUGCCUCCUUUAUUAGAAACACAUUGAGUUCGACUUACUCUCUCACUAUCGGAGAUAACAUACACAUACAAACAUCCAACCAUUUAGUGAUUUCUUUUUUCACUACCUCCUCCAUAGUUGGUUUAACUGAUAUUACGCAUCAACAAUUGGCUUCUUACCUUAUUCCAGCAAAAGUUAAAAAAAUAUAAAUUAUAAAAAUAAAAAACAAUCUAAUUAGAGAAUAGGAACCAAAUCCACAACUAACACAUAGUACGAGACUAAUAGCUUAAUUUAAUCUAACAAAUUUAACUUCUAUUGUUUAUGCAAGUACUAGAAUUUCAAAUUAAAAAAGUAGAAUAAUUAAAAUUGAUCAGAUAAAAGUAAAAGGACUAAAUCCACAACUAAUGUAUGGUAAAAAGAUUAAUAAAAAAAAGUCAAUCGUAUGAAUUAGGGUUUAUUUUUUAAGUUUACGAGCACAAUUACUAAGGUGUGGAUAAAAAUAAUAGCCAAUUAUUUGUAAUUUUUUAUUACCUACAAGUUCUUGUAUAAAAAUAUUAUUUUCAAUUAAUUAUCAAAAAAAGGAAAAUGUUAAUAUAUGGUAAGUAUAUCUAAAUUAAUGGAGCUAUUAUUAUCUUGCCAUAGGUGACGUAUAGAGCAUAGUGCAAAAUCUUCUAUAUGAUUUUUCUCUUCCUACAAAAUUCGCAAGUAUAUCUUCACCUACCAAGUCAUAACUUUACUGCAAUAUUAGGUUAAAGAAAUUCCAAGAAAUUCAACUAUAAAUGGCCAAAUGCAUGUCAUUUUUUGUAUAUCAUCAGCUUGUUAUCAUAUAACUAACUCUUUGUUUCAUCUCUCAAUAGCUUUCAUUUUAAACUAUGGCUUCUUUCGGCGUGGUUUCUCUUUUUGCGGUUUUGCUUGUGGCUUCUUGUUAGUAUCUAAAAUAUUUAUCCUGUUCGAUAUUUAAUUAUUACAUACAUAUAUAUACAUGUAACUUUUUUAGUAUAAAAGCGAUUGCAGUAUUAAAAUAAGGGAGGGGUUGCAAUCGUUGCGAUUCAAAUCCUAUGUGUCUUAAACUUAUAUAUAAUAGGUAAUAUAAUAUAACUAACAAAAUUUUUAAAUGAUGAAAAAUUUGUUGUUUAAUUUGCAGGUGUAUCAAACUCAGAAGCAUGCACUCGUGACAUAGACUGUUUGGGCCAGUGUAAACAUGGUGGUUUUUGUGACUUGACAACUAAAAAAUGUAGUUGCUUGCCGGUGUCGGGGCAGCUACCAUCUAACAUUGCAGCAACAGCGGACGCUAUGCAGCGAUGACGAAAACUGCAAAGGAUUGCCCACCAGCUUGUUAAGCCCAUAACAUUCAAGGUGGCAUUUGUGUCUGCAAACGUUGUGCCUGAAGAAAAAAGAAAAUCCGAACAAAAAACUCUAAAUUUAAGCCUUUCGACAAUGCCAUAUAUUUUAAGAUAAACUUUGUAUCCAAAAAAUUGGCAAAUAAAUUAUUAAUGAAUAAAAAGGUUGUCAAAGAGAACUUAUUU
rnacentral:lncRNA from 1 species